UACAGAGGGUGCGAGCGUUGUCCGGAAUCACUGGGCGUAAAGGGCGCGUAGGUGGCUUGCCAAGCGUGUGGUGAAAGCCCGGAGCUCAACUCCGGGUCGGCCAUGCGAACUGGCAGGCUAGAGCACGGUAGAGGCCAAUGGAAUUCCGGGUGUAGCGGUGGAAUGCGUAGAGAUCCGGAAGAACACCGAUGGCGAAGGCAAUCCCCUGGGCCGGCACUGACGCUCAUGCACGAAAGCGUGGGGAGCAAACAGG
rnacentral:rRNA from 1 species